GUGCAGCAGUCGAGAAACUUCACAAUGUGCGAAAGCACGAUGAGGGAAUCCCAAGUGCUUGCACGUAAGUGUAAGCUGUUUCUCUGUCUAAAACGCAGAGAGAGUAAGGGCUGGGUAAGACGGGUGCCAGCCGCCGCGGUAAUACCUGCAGCUCGAGUGGUGACCGUUAUUAUUGGGCCUAAAACGGUCCGUAGCCGGUUUAAUAAAUGCCUGGGUAAAUCGGAUCGCUUAACGGUUCGAAUUCCGGGUAGACUGUUAAACUUGAGACCGGGAGAAGUUAGAGGUACUCCUGGGGUAGAGGUGAAAUUCUGUAAUCCUAGGGGGACCACCAGUGGCGAAGGCGUCUAACUAGAACGGGUCUGACGGUGAGGGACGAAGCCCUGGGGCGCAAAACGGGGAUUAGAUACCCCCGUAGU
rnacentral:rRNA from 1 species